GCCGGCUCGCUGAGGUGGGCCCUGAGGGGCGGGAGCGCCCUCCGGGAAAGGUGGUGGUCUCCAGGCUGGGGUUUGCCGUCCCCGUCCCGUUUCUCCCCGCUCCGGGGCCGCUGGCGGGGCGCGGAGGCCGGGCGAGGUGGAGAGGCCUGAGGUGGGGUCCAAGAGCUGGGUUUCGGCUUGAGCUGUUUGAGAGUUCUCCAGAACAAAAGCUGACAGGGGCCUCUUUUCUCUCCGGUCGCCUUCCCCGCGUGUGGAAGUUCUCCUGUAUCUUCUGAAGGACAGUUCCUCUACGCAAAUUUAGAUAUGCGGUAGCUUGAAAGGCUCUCACCGGGACAGGUAAACCAGAAGAACCGGGUGGUGUGUAGCCGUGGCAACAGCGGUGGUGCUUCGGCUGGGUGUAUUGAGGCGGUUGUUCUCAUCUGCAGCAGGAUAUGCAGUGUGGUUUCCUUGUCUUGAAACGACCAAGGUUAUAUAGUUCUCAACAGGUUCAGCUGAGAAAGGCAUAAGGUGUCCUUGUGUCAUGGGAGUCUGUGGACGGAGAGGAAAAUGGGGAGGCUGUGCUGGUGAGCAGGAAAUGCCCAUGUUAUCAGCAGGUAAGGGGAGCUUAGCAAGAGGUGGAAAGAAGACAAAACAAUUCACAAAAUAAUGGAGGAAGGGAAGAAAUGGCAGGAGGGGGAAGAUGAAAUGGACUAUAGAGACAGCACAGAAAGGGUAAAUUAUAUUCUAGGGGGGAAAAAGGAAUGGAAAAAAAAAAAGGGAAAUUAAAAUGUCAAGAAAGAAUGCAAGAAACAAGGAAAGUAAGCUAAUCCUGUCUUUUAGUAGGCAUUUUGGUGGAGAACCUGUCAGCAUAGAUUUUAAGGAUCAUGAACUCUCCUUGUGCAGAGGUUGUGGCUAGGACCAGCCACUUUGGAGCAGGAAGCCAGCAACCUUUUCACACACACAGUUGUCAAAUCUGCUGUCCAACAGUGAAUGCCUGCUGGGGCCAUUCACUUCUCCCCCAAAACAGGCUUCUUUUUUUAUGCUGAUGUCAAACGAUGUUUUUAUCAAUGCAAGUGGCUACUUCAGUCUCCUACAAAUAGAUAGUAGGAUGUAUUUUGUGGACUGAUAUUACUGUGUAGAAAGCACUUUCUCCGUUAGGUUUUGGGUGAUCAACUCUGGUCUGGUAUCUCGUACUGGUAUUGAAGUAUUUUAUCAGUGGAAGCUCUGCAUGCCUUCGCUUUGUCUGAUUUAUACCAAAUCCCUUUUCUAAUCCUUUGCUAAAUGUUGCAUCUCUUUAUAUGGUGCCUUUAUUUUGUUUUCAUUGACAUCGUGUAAGCCUUUGCUAUUUUAACAGUAUUGUUUUGGAGUUGCAGCCAAAUGGAGUAUUGUAGUGUGAGUGAUGGUAUUUUGUCUGUCUUUGUGCAAUGUUAGAGUAGCUUCCACAUCGUUCUUCCUUUCUUUUAAUUCUUUCUUUGCCCUUUUGACUGUCCUUGCUUAGAGUCUUUCGUUUGUCUGUCUGGUGAUGCUUUGAGUAUCCAGUGAUACUCAAAUACUGCCUUAUGUAGUGAUUAAUUGCUCUCUACCCCAGUAACUUGUAUAAUUAGCACAGAUUUUUCCUAUAGUGCAGCAGUCUAAAGCUAUCUGUACUGAAUUUGAACAGCGUGGUGGCAGCUGCUCUUGUCUAAGUCCUAGAAUUUAUUGGUUUUCUUAAGUCCCUGUAAACCCCAACAGCAUGAUUACUUUAGAUUGCUGAGCUGCUUGGCACUCAGCCCUUACCCACAUGCGGGCACAGUUCUUUGGUCUGAAGGUGAUUUCAUGUUCUGGGCAGGCAGGCAACAGGUGAUUGUACAAGUGACAUGGGGAAAGGUGGAGAACCUGAGGGAGAUCAGAAAGGGCAACAGCGCUGUCAUCCCUAAGAAGAUGGAGGGCAAGGGUGCUUGUGGGAGCCCAAGCAAGAGAGGAUAGCAAGCUGCGGUAAGAUAAGUGGAAAGGGUGUUUUGGGGAAGCAGUGUAAUGAAGUAGUGCUGUAUUCACGUUUCCUUUGUCCCUUGUGCGGCAAACUGGAUAUAUGGUGUUCCCUUAACUCUCCUUGGAGGACUAACGAGUGUGGACAGAGCAGAGUUCCUGGGUGUUCAGAACAAGCAAAAAGAAAACAUUUCUUGAGGCAGCGCUUGAACAUGCUCAUUACGUUUUCUGGAUGAUGUGAGUAGAUUCUGAAGCAGAAAGUCUUGGUCAUUGCCAAGAUGAGAGUGACUGGGUUGAUGAGUCCAUGCUCUGAGCCCACGUGACUGACCUCAUGUUGCUUCCGGAAUUCAGCAGCAGAUUUGGGCAGAGCAUGCAGAAACCUUGUGUCCUGGGGCAGUGUAUUGGGUUUGCAUGGCAAGGUUUUGGUAGCAGGGGGGGGGCUACAGGGGUGGCUUCUGUGAGAAGAUGCCAGAAGCUUCCCCCAUGUCCCAUUAGCUCAGCCUUGGUCAAGGCCUCUGUCAGCAACGGUGGCAGCACCUCUGUGGCAAGAUAUUUAAGAAAGGG